rnacentral:lncRNA from 10 species
UGCCUUGCUUACAUAGCAGAAAAGAGGGUAUGAUGUGACUUCUCUAAGAUGUAUUCACAGAGUCUAAGUCUAUUCUGCCCGUGAGGGAUUUCCCAUUAGGUUAUACCAAAUGUUCAGCAUGCCACUAUUUAACAUACAAACAGUAGAUCAGAUUAGGAUGGAAACGUAUUUUUCCUUUUGAACUACUUUAACCCUAUUCACAGUUUUUUGGAUUUAGUACAAUAGUUCUGGCCAGCAUUAAGUAAAUAGUUCUGCCCCUUUGUACCCUUUCCCCCAUAACUGCUGGCAGCAAGAUAUAUAGUAAGUGUACAAAAGGGCAAAGGCAGAGAUGAUAAUAAUUUAUGUGGUCUGUAUUGGAAAUACGAGAGGGACAAAGUCAAGGAAAUCACGAAGUUAUUUGAGACUUAGUUUCCUCCUCUGUAGAAAUAGACCAUAAACCUUGUAAAAUGUUCAGCAUAGGGUACUCAAUCACUAUAUGGCAACAAUUUUGGGGGCCUUACCUGCUAUGAUUCCAUGCAGUGCUUUGUCCCCCAGGCAUGCCUACUAUGAGGAUUUACACAUAAGUGCUCAAAACAUCUUAGUUAAAUGAAUGAAUGAAUGAAUGGAUAUGAGGUAAUUUAUAAGAAAGUGCUGUAAAAUUGACAAAGUAUAGUAGAAUUUUAAGAGGUUAGUACUAAUAGUAAUAAUUAAUAAGUAAUAAUGGGCGACACCACUGAGUCUUUGAUUCUGGCUCAGCUUUGGAGAGCUGCUCUGCAAGAAAUGUUUGAGUCUUUGUCUUUUUUAUCCAAAAAUUCAAUUGAGAGAGACACUGUCUACAGAACAACAACAUCUAUUGAUCAGUGGAAAAUGUUUCAUUCAUCCAGUUUUGCUCAGUAAAAAUUCCCAUUCAUCCUUCAAAUACUUUUUACUAUAUCGCUUUCAUGAUACCUAUGUCAAUUAAAUUAGUCUUGGCCACAUUUAAUAGAGACCCCCACUCUUCUCAGCACAAGUGGCUCUUCUUUGUCUCCUGUAUCAGCAGUGCAGAGUUCAGCUGGCCACAGCUAAUGUGGUGUCACCACAGUCAUUAAUGCAAGGUGAUACAAGCUUCAACACCCUGCACUGGUUUUAGCCCCUGAUGGCUGUUAAGACUCCAGGAAUCAUGACUUUAGGAACUGGAAAUAGAAAGUAACGGAUAAAAAGUGAGCUUCUCCAGCUGAAUCAGUCUCCUUUAAAGAGCUUGUCCUAUUCAAUGAAUUUCACCUACUCUAUGUGCAAGGAGAGGAUAGGAAUUGUCUUUUAGCAGGAUACAUUGCUGAAUAAAUACAACUGGGGUCUAUUACUAAGGCGAACAAUUAGAAAGGAUAUUAGCCAAAUAGCCAGCGGUGUUUGCCAUUGACCUCUUCACUUUUCCUUUCAUCUUCAUCUUGUAAGUCAUGGUUUGUUAUCCAUUGGCAACUCCUUGAAGGUUCUGUAACCUGCAUAAUUUUCUCCUCUUUUCCUUUGCGUAUGUUUAGCUAUUUCACAAAUCCACUACCUACUCUCUGUUGUCAUUCCAUCUUUCUCAUGUUUGGCUUACUUAAUAAUCUUGUAGCUCUCUACAUAUUUUAUUUUUAUUCAAUUCUAAACUGCUUAUACUAUCUACCGUUUUCUCUAAAUCUAUCCAAAUCUUGCUCUUUGACCCUACAGUGAUUGACUUUAUACAUUUUCCCACAUUUAAUCCAGAGGCUUUCAGGGUCUUUGAUCCUUUGUGAUCUAAGAAAGAUUAGCUUGUGAUAUGUCUGCUAUUUGCUUCAAAAUAAUCCAGUGUUGGAGACAGAGAAAAGUCAGUGGUGUACAAAUGAAACAAUAUUAAUCCUGUGUUGAAAUUUUUGAAACUGAGUGAUGGCUAGGUGGGGCUUCAUUAUAUCAUUAAUUCUGAUCUUGUGUGUUCUUUACAUUUUAAAUAAUAAAAAGUAAAGAAAGACAUGAUUGGCUUGAAUCUUUGUUUUGCAAUCUGCUGAAGUAUAAAGUCCUCCCUAAAAUUUGUUCAAAAAACUCCAAGAGGAUUACUUUGUCUUUGUCACUUCUACUUCGGGGAUCUUUCACAUUAAUGCCACUCUUCCAGACAUUUUUCCAUACAUGACUCUCAGCUAUUCAGCAAAUUACUUACAUACACACAC